UGUGCGAUCCUGAUCCAGACUGCCCAUCUUGAUCGGAAGCUAUGAAACAAAAAUAUAUCAGCAGAAUGAGGAUCCUGUGUCAUAAGGAAUUCCUUGAACCCUCUCAGUGAAAAUUAUACCAUAUUUUCUCAAUCAAAUCAGAUAAAAAGGAUUUGCAAUUACUUAAAAAAGUUGCAGAGGAGACGUCGGGCCAAACGAGCUAAAGAGUUGAGAGUAAGGUCCAGUGGUGUCACCUAAAAGGACUCUUUAAGGAUAAGUCAUUGGAUAGGCUCAAGGCAAUGAAGCCGACCUCAGGUGAGGCAGGGUCCACUCCUUCCCCUGCUCAGGCAUUGUUGGGAGGAAUCACAGCCGGUGUCAUUGCCCUUUGCUUUGUAAGUUCACCAUCACUAUCGAGGAGGCAUUCAAUCGGCAGACCAUCUCGUAUAACUUCUCGGUGGCAAUCCCUUAGAUGCUUGCCAUGGGUAUCGACAUAGUCAAGCUGCCUCCUAGAGUACAAAAAGUGACGAUGAGAGAGCGGUAGUCGAGGGAGACAGUCCGGGUGGUGUGGACAUGGACAUGGUUGAGACAGAGGUCAAUGACACUGAUAACGGGAUCGGAGGGGCAGAGGAAGAAGAUCGCUAGGUAAAGCAGAACAAUAGGAGCCGCAAAGAAGAUUACGCCGGAGGGAGUGGCAGUUGCUAAGACGGCGGUGAUAGACAGGGAGGCCUAUCGCCGGACAUGGAAGAAUAAGAUUUGGGGAUUUAAGGAUUUUAGAGUUGAAGAUUUAGUAAGGGUAAAAAAGUUAUUUUCAUUUAAAAAACAAACACCUCACUCACAGUGUUAAGUUGGGUGAGUUUAUUUGUAAUGCGAUAGGUGGAUGUAAUAAGGGCAAACACGAGCGACGGUGGAUGUAAAUUUCCUAAUAUAUAAUGCCGAAUAAACAAAUAUGAGUUUAGCCCAUGACAUAA